CAAUAGCGUAUAUUUAAGUUGCUGCAGUUAAAGAGCUCGUAGUUGGAUUUCGGGUGGGAAUGGCCGGUCCGCCGUUUCGGUGUGCACUUGCUACGCCCACCUUGCUGCCGGGGACGUGCUCUUGAGUUCACGCUCGGGACACGGAGUCGGCGAGGUUACUUUGAGUAAAUUAGAGUGUUCAAAGCAGGCCUACGCUCUGAAUACAUUAGCAUGGAAUAACACGAUAGGACUCUGGCCUAUCUUGUUGGUCUGUAGGACCGGAGUAAUGAUUAAGAGGGACAGUCGGGGGCAUUCGUAUUUCAUUGUCAGAGGUGAAAUUCUUGGAUUUAUGAAAGGCGAACUACUGCGAAAGCAUUUGCCAAGGAUGUUUUCAUUAA
rnacentral:rRNA from 1 species